UGAAAUUCUCUCUCGACAA
rnacentral:snRNA from 1 species